UUUGGUAUUUAUGCUCAUUUGAUUCAUUUCGUGCCAGCUAGUAAAAGCCGAAAGGCAUGUCGAUUCAGGGAGGAGUGGUCGAUUCGCCGAAUUCAAUUGAGCUGCUGCGUGCUGUCUCGAAGCAAGCAAUCCAGCCGUUGCGUUCAGUCAUUCGGAACAGGAAUCUAAUGCUGUCAAUAGGUGGCCGUGAAUAAGUGGCUGAAAUUAUGUCCACCAGGUAGCGCGAGUGUAUUCAGCAUUCAUAGCGCCCAUUUUGUUCCAAGACGCAGCAAAAAUGGGUUGCUGGUCGUGACGUUUCUCUCGAUGGAAAUUAAAAGGUGAUAUACGGAUUUAGCUCGUAGAAAAUAAUUUGCCAAAUUAUUCAACUCGAACUUGGAAGUGCCUGUACAUUGCCGAAAUGGCGUGCCUCGUGUGUCUCGCUGCCUGUUCUUAGGCGUACGUCUCAUCCAAUCAACAGCAAAAAGUAUAACAAACACUUCUUUAACACUGUUGGUUACCUUUUUGCUGCCAAAUGGUGAAAGGUGUGGCGAAGACAGAUGCAGCAUGAGGUCGCAGUGUAAUCCAGAAGUAGCUGUGCUGGUGUUAUCCUGAAAUUGCUGUGCUAUUGUAGCUGAACUGUUCCAUGUGGGUUCCUGACUUAAAGAUUUUUGUGUUAUUUGUGUUUUCAUCCAUACCAUAUGAAAUUGCUCUGCCAGUGAUAUUUUGUGUUGCUGACGAAAGUGUUUGAUCUGUCUUGAUUUUUCAUUCAAUCAUGCAGUAUACGACUGGGGCAACCUGAUCGAUGUCAGGUUUGACACACUCGAGAACUGCUAGAUUAAACAAGCUUUCUGCGCCAAACAAAUAAUAACUUGCACUUAACUUGCAUCAUGUUAUUAUCGCAGUAGAGAAAGCGACAGGCCCCCCCUCCUGGGGGCCACAGGAAAAAUAUGUAUGUAAAUAUUAUAAAUUUUGUAUAAACUUUUGUUAUCAAUAAAAUUUUGUAUGUUAUAAAA